rnacentral:lncRNA from 1 species
CUCAGGGAGACUGAUUUGAGUAAUAAUAAAGCUCCAGCCUCCCACAUAGCCAGGUCUGUGUGAAUUACCCUUUCUCUACUGGAAUUCCCCUGUUUUGAUAAAUCAGCUCUGUCUAGGUAGCGGGCAAAGUGGACCCUUUGGGCAGUUACACUAUCCUUAGAGAUGGCGGCUCGAGAUGCUUCUCCAUUGGCUGGCAUCUGGUAACCUGGAUUUUGGGUAGGUACUCACAUUCUCAAAACUGAUACAAGGGGCUUACCUUGCCUAAACAACAUGGUCCUCGUGAUAGAGACACUAGACAGGGAAAUUCUGGGCAGAAAAGGGCAGGUCUCUGGCAAGGGCCCCACUCUCAAGCCUGGAACUGUGGGCCAAAAUGAGAAGAUGCAUUCCUAUUUUUAGUGAAGUAAGUGAAGUGAGUAAGUGAAGUUUGCCUCUGCCGUCACCGAAGUGGCCAACUAGCUCCAGCGCCCACACUCCAGUUCCUGUCCAUGAAGGGGACAGGGAAAAUGUUCUGCUUCACUUGCUGAAUUCCUGCUUUCCUUCCAGGAGUCUGGAAUUUUGCUGCGCGCCGGGCAGAGGGUUCCUAUGUAACUGGCUUCCAUGUGCUUGAAUGUUGCCUUUUCCAAAACCACCCAUGGCCUGCCCCACCCCAUAUCCUGUGCCAUAAAAACCCCAGGUUCCACCUGCAGAGAGUGGAGGAGAAGAGGAUAAGCAGCUGGACGUUGGAGACUACAAUUUGAUGAUGGAGAGAAGCAGCUUGACUUCAGAGGGAUUGCCUGACGGCAUUGCUUCUGAACGGAGUCUGGGGGAGGAACACCUUCCCACUCCAUCCCCUUUCCAGCUCUCCUUCCUGAGAGCCACUUUCAUCAACAAUAAAUCCUCCCCAUUCACCACCCUUCAGUUCAUUCAUGCGACCUGAUUUUUCCUGGACACUGAAUAAGAGCUUGGCUGCCACGGAUGUGAAUGCUAAAGGCUGUCACAGUGACUCUCUGGCCUUGCUGGUGGAGAGCAACCACUUCAUGUGAAAAGGCAGAGGGCCCACUGAACUGUUUAACACUUAAGCCAUCCAUGGACAGCAAGGCCAAAAGAGAGCACUGUAACACACGCCCUCCAGGGCUUCGAGGGUGGUGGGUAUCCCCCUAGAUACUGCCGCAGGCCCUGCAUGGAGUUUUGUUCCUGCUGGUGCCCAAAGGCACUCACCCCACCUCCUGCGCCCACUCACCUGCAUGCUGCCUCUCAUAAGGGGUUGAAGCAAUGGGUUUGAGUAAGUGAAGUUUGUCCCUGCUGUCACCGAAGUGACCAGCUAGCUCCAGCACCCACACUCCAGUUCCCGUCCAUGAAGGAGUCAGGAAAAAUGUCUGCUUCACUUGCUGAAUUGCUGCUUUCCUUCUAGGAGUCUGGAAUUUUGCUGCAUGCCGGGCAGAGGGGUCCUAUGUAACUGGCUUCCAAUACAAGCCCUGGGCAUUGAAUUUCCAAUGGAACUAGCGUAGAUAAUAUUUCAAGUGUGUAGUCAUGAUUUGAGGCUGGGGGAACGAAGAGUGUCUUGAGUGUCUUGUAGUCACAAUUUGAGGCUGGAGGAAUUAAAAGUGUUUACUACAAAGAGAGAAGACUCUUCAAAAUUUUAGCCUGGUUUUCUCUGGACUUCACCACAUGGGCCGUUUCCUCUUGCUGAUUUUGCUUGUAUCCAUAAUAAAUCAUAGCUGGAGGUAAAACUUAUAUGCUGAGUCCUGUGAUGCCUCCUAGAAAAUCACCAAACCUAAGAGUAGACCUCCAAUGCAAUAUCCUUAUUGCGGGAAGCCUGGGAGAUGUAGGUUAUUUGUUUGUUUUUCUAUUCCGUAUUGCAGAGUUGGGUUUAAAUAUGGAGUACUAUCAAUACAUAUAGUGAAUGUGUGGCUCACAUUGAUAUAGGUCAUAAAAUCUGAUUCCCUUUUGUUCCGGGUAUUCAUUUAGACUGCAUUUUCCAUCCUCCAAUGUAGUACGGUGGGCCUUGUGACUGGGGUCUGAUGAAUGAAGUUGGGGUGAGGAGUCAUGCCUAUUACUCCCAGGUUUGGACCAUAAUAUCCUCCCAUGUGAUCAAUCUGUGCUCCAGCUGUGCUCUUACCCAUGCACUGGCCAGAUGUGUAAGUUCUAGCUGAGGUCUGCCAGGAUACAGGAUGGUGGAGCCAUGUGAUGGAAGGAGCUUGGGCCUCUGAGUGACUAUGCAGAGCAGAGUGAUGGUUGCAUCUCCCUUUCUAACCCACAGCAAAUUAGAUGCUAUCUUAACCUUUUGGAUUAAGCCCCUGGGAUCUGAGGAUUUGUCUAUUCCUGUAUUUCACGUUUUCCUAACUAAUUCAGAAAAGUCCUGGGUAAUAGAUAGAUACUCCCUAAGUGAACAAUACAAACUCCAUUUCAUUAAAACUUCAUUCCCUGAAGAAACAGGAAAACUCCAUAAGCCUUAAAAAAACAAUUUCCAUCACUUCUAAAUUCAGUCUAUUAUACUUCAAAACAAU